UUACAAAGAUACUUUUACAAUAAUAUGUUUAUUCUUAUAAAAGUAUCUUGUUAGUGUUUUUCUAAUAUACAGUAAUAUAAUUUUAAAAUACAGUAAUAUAAUUUAUGUUUUUUAUUUUUUUUUUAUUGCUUUUUUUUUAGUUACAUAGGUUGUUGUACGUAAAGCAGAACUGAUUUGAUAACUGUUAUUUUUAUUGACUGUUGACAAUUUCAAGAUAUUUUUUUUUUUUGAUUAUAUAACUUUUUUGUUAUCUUUAGGCCAAUUUGCACAGACUACAGGUGUAUCUACCUCUUGUACUACACCUGUAUCUACCUCUUGUGCUACACCUGGGUGUUAUAACAUCAUAACCACAUCUACGGCCAACUCUAAGAUCACCUUAUUUUGUUUGGCAGUGUUCUGGAAUCAAGUUAUGACAAUAUUUUAUGUAUAAAAUCUAACAAUUACAUUAAAAAAGUGCUUAUUUUUGACAAAAACUUGUAUUUUCUUAAGGGUUAGAUGGUGUUUCAUUACCCCCUCUGGCUCCCAAGAUACACCCUAC